rnacentral:rRNA from 15 species
UUGACCUCGGAUCAGGUAGGGAUACCCGCUGAACUUAAGCAUAUCAAUAAGGCGGAGGAA